rnacentral:rRNA from 1 species
UAAUGGCUCACCAAGGCGACGAUCCCUAGCUGGUCUGAGAGGAUGAUCAGCCACACUGGAACUGAGACACGGUCCAGACUCCUACGGGAGGCAGCAGUGGGGAAUAUUGCACAAUGGGCGCAAGCCUGAUGCAGCCAUGCCGCGUGUGUGAAGAAGGCCUUCGGGUUGUAAAGCACUUUCAGCAGUGAGGAAGGCGGGUACGUUAAUAGCGUGCUCGUUUGACGUUAGCUGCAGAAGAAGCACCGGCUAACUCCGUGCCAGCAGCCGCGGUAAUACGGAGGGUGCGAGCGUUAAUCGGAAUUACUGGGCGUAAAGCGCAUGCAGGUGGUUCGUUAAGUCAGAUGUGAAAGCCCGGGGCUCAACCUCGGAACUGCAUUUGAAACUGGCGGACUAGAGUACUGUAGAGGGGGGUAGAAUUUCAGGUGU